GAUGAACGCUGGCGGCGUGCCUAAUACAUGCAAGUCGAGCGAACGGACGAGAAGCUUGCUUCUCUGAUGUUAGCGGCGGACGGGUGAGUAACACGUGGAUAACCUACCUAUAAGACUGGGAUAACUUCGGGAAACCGUAGCUAAUACCGGAUAAUAUUUUGAACCGCAUGGUUCAAAAGUGAAAGACGGUCUUGCUGUCACUUAUAGAUGGAUCCGCGCUGCAUUAGCUAGUUGGUAAGGUAACGGCUUACCAAGGCAACGAUGCAUAGCCGACCUGAGAGGGUGAUCGGCCACACUGGAACUGAGACACGGUCCAGACUCCUACGGGAGGCAGCAGUAGGGAAUCUUCCGCAAUGGGCGAAGGCCUGACGGAGCAACGCCGCGUGAGUGAUGAAGGUCUUCGGAUCGUAAAACUCUGUUAUUAGGGAAGAACAUAUGUGUAAGUAACUGUGCACAUCUUGACGGUACCUAAUCAGAAAGCCACGGCUAACUACGUGCCAGCAGCCGCGGUAAUACGUAGGUGGCAAGCGUUAUCCGGAAUUAUUGGGCGUAAAGCGCGCGUAGCGGUUUUUUAGUCUGAUGUGAAAGCCCACGGCUCAACCGUGGAGGGUCAUUGGAAACUGGAAAACUUGAGUGCAGAAGAGGAAAGUGGAAUUCCAUGUGUAGCGGUGAAAUGCGCAGAGAUAUGGAGGAACACCAGUGGCGAAGGCGAUUUUCUGGUCUGUAACUGACGCUGAUGUGCGAAAGCGUGGGGAUCAAACAGGAUUAGAUACCCUGGUAGUCCACGCCGUAAACGAUGAGUGCUAAGUGUUAGGGGGUUUCCGCCCCUUAGUGCUGCAGCUAACGCAUUAAGCACUCCGCCUGGGGAGUACGACCGCAAGGUUGAAACUCAAAGGAAUUGACGGGGACCCGCACAAGCGGUGGAGCAUGUGGUUUAAUUCGAAGCAACGCGAAGAACCUUACCAAAUCUUGACAUCCUUUGACAACUCUAGAGAUAGAGCCUUCCCCUUCGGGGGACAAAGUGACAGGUGGUGCAUGGUUGUCGUCAGCUCGUGUCGUGAGAUGUUGGGUUAAGUCCCGCAACGAGCGCAACCCUUAAGCUUAGUUGCCAUCAUUAAGUUGGGCACUCUAAGUUGACUGCCGGUGACAAACCGGAGGAAGGUGGGGAUGACGUCAAAUCAUCAUGCCCCUUAUGAUUUGGGCUACACACGUGCUACAAUGGACAAUACAAAGGGCAGCGAAACCGCGAGGUCAAGCAAAUCCCAUAAAGUUGUUCUCAGUUCGGAUUGUAGUCUGCAACUCGACUACAUGAAGCUGGAAUCGCUAGUAAUCGUAGAUCAGCAUGCUACGGUGAAUACGUUCCCGGGUCU
rnacentral:rRNA from 1 species